rnacentral:rRNA from 1 species
AUGUGUGCUUCAAAACGGAGCGGAGGCAUGGGGUUUAGAGACCCGGAGGCUUUCAAUCAGGCACUCCUUGCCAAACAAGCAUGACGAAUCUUGCAGUACCCAUCAUCUUUGUGUGCAAGAGUUCUGAAGGCAAAAUAUUUCAAGGAUGACUCCAUAUUGACAGCCUCGUGUCCGGCGGCGUCAUCCUUCACUUUCAGGAGCAUUUUGCAUGGACGAGAUCUAUUACGUGAAGGAUUAGUGUGGCGCAUUGGAGAUGGCUCAAGUAUUAAUAUUCACCAUGAAAACUGGAUUCCCAGGAGUGGUCCUUGA